GACUGAAGGCUGAAAUUCGCCUUCCAUGAAGCUGGAAUUGCUAGUAAUGGCAGGUCAGCAUACUGCCGUGAGUACGUUCCCGGGCCCUUGUACACACCGCCCGUCACACCAUGAGAGUUGGAAAUACCCGAAGCCUGUGAGCUAACUUAAAGAGGCAGCAGUCGAAGGUAGAGCCAAUGAUUGGGGUGAAGUCGUAACAAGGUACC
rnacentral:rRNA from 1 species